GUCGGAUUUUGGACCGCAUUUUGUUAUUGCGCCGCGCGCGACUACAAUACUUACGAUAAGUUUAUUUUUAUUAAAUUUCGAUGAAAAUGUUUCAAAUACCAUAUAAUAUAUUUCAUGGAGCUACCAUCAGAUUUCACACAAAGCUAUGUGAUAGUACCAGACACUUGGAUCACGGAAUUUAAAGUUAACAUGGCCUAACCAGUGGAGGACAACAAAACCACAGAGAAACAAGUGAAAAAUCAUGAAAUUUUUGAAACAUGGAAACAAUUUAGAGCCAAAUUAAUAAUAGGGGCUUUUUAAGUUGAUUUAAAUUGGUGCAAACUGGUUGGUUUGUCACUGGAGCGAUCUGCGUUAUUUGAGGGCUGCAACUAGCGAACCAGAUCGCCGUCAUGCAUUGUCAUGGAAACUGAAGCGAUGUGAGAAAUUUCAAUUCUGUAGGACAAGGAGAAGUAAAUGAAAUAUACUUUUUCGGAGGCACAACAAAGUUUAAAAAUUGUAGUUUAAUUAGAUUCACCGAGUGACGAAAACUCAAAUUUAGGUACAAAUACAAUACUAUAAAACACUAAUCCAACAGAAAGCAACAACACAAUCACAAUAAUUUCCAAUGAAUUGAUAACAAAAGAUAAUAGCAAACAUUUCAAAAAACUAACACUUUCCUUAUCACGAGAAUUUAAUACAGAACAAACAAAGAAGCAUAAACCAGAAUCGCCAAAUGAAACGGCUAAUGAAAAUGUUAUAGAAGAAACGGUUCAAGAAGACAAUAUUAUUAAGACACUUUCUCCAAUACAAUUAAGUAUAAGUAAAGUUAAAUUAUGUCACAAAAUUGAAUAUACAAUCAAGAAACCAAAUAAUCCUUCCACUUCAAACUGUGAUGACUCAUCAUCAGAAUAUUCUUCUCCCUUGUUUAAUAAACGUGAUAGAGACGAUUUCAAUGUAUUCCAGCAUUUGUGUGAUACAACGGAAAAAGUUCAUAGUUACAUGAAAAACGUUUACACACAUCUCGAAUAAUUCAGGACGAUAUUAAAUAAAAAUGCUUCCAGUUUUGAAAAAGUGCAUAGUCUAGUUGAAGAUUUAGUUGAACUGUAUGAAAUCGAUAAUUCGAGUGACUGCAAUAUUGGUUGUAGUAGUGACAGUGAUUCUGAAAGCGAUGAAAAUAGCAGACCUUCUAGUACACCGCAUACUCAACAAAAUAUUCGAAUAAAAGAUGAUAAUAUGCGAAACUCGAAUUGGACGUUAAAAUAUCAGAAAAAAGAUCCAAAUACAAAAGAAUAAUUGUCAGGAUCAGGUAUUUAAAUCUCAAUUGAAGGUCUUCUAUGAUGUCAAAAGCAAACAGAUCGCGCCACUACUUUAGCUGCAAUGUUGUAUCAAGAAAUUUUCACCAAAGACGCUCUGUUGCAAUGUUCUGUUGGUGUAAAAUUAGGCCUACAAAGCUAUGCUUCUGCUAGACCUGCAUUGGAUUUUAAAGGAGUAAAACAAAGAAGCGAAACCCAUAAGCGUAUAUGCUUAUGUAUCUAUUUCGUAUAAGACUGAAUACGAAAUCAGAAGACAUAUUAUGUCAUUUUUGUCCAAACUGAGAAUGAAACAGAUACAGAAGCACAGCUACAGAACUUGUUUUUAUGUUAAGUGCACAAAAAAACAAACUCUGUAGCUGUGCCUACUAAUACAAAUUAAAUACAGGGCAAAAAAAAAGAUUUUUGUUUACUCUGGAAACAUAGAUAAAUAGAUAAACUCUUUAUUGCGCCAUUCACAAAGGAGUUAUAAGUUACAACAAGAUAUUCAAACAUAAUGAGUGCAAACGCGGACUUAUCGCUAAUGCAAUUUCUUCCAGCAAACCUUUGGAUGGAAAGAGACACAAGUAGACUAAGAGGGUGCAGUAAACUUAACAGUACAUACAGGAUUUCAAAAUUUUUAUAAGACGAUUUUAGAUUAAGGCAAU